GAUGAAGAACGCAGCGAAAUGCGAUAAGUAAUGUGAAUUGCAGAAUUCAGUGAAUCAUCGAAUCUUUGAACGCACAUUGCGCCCGCCAGUAUUCUGGCGGGCAUGCCUGUUCGAGCGUCAUUUCAACCAUCAAGCCCCCGGCUUGUGUUGGGGACCUGCGGCUGCCGCAGGCCCUGAAAACCAGUGGCGGGCUCGCUAGUCACUCCGAGCGUAGUAAUACAUCUCGCUCAGGGCGUGCUGCGGGUUCCGGCCGUUAAAAAGCCUUAUUUACCCAAGGUUGACCUCGGAUCAGGUAGGAAGACCCGCUGAACUUAAGCAUAGCAAUAAGCGGAGGA
rnacentral:misc_RNA from 1 species